GCUGGCGGCAAGCCUUACACAUGCAAGUCGAGCGGUAGCAUUUCUAGCUUGCUAGAAGAUGACGAGCGGCGGACGGGUGAGUAAAGCAUAGGAAUCUGGCCAAUAGAGGGGGAUAGCCCGGAGAAAUCCGGAUUAAUACCGCAUACACUCUAUGGAGAAAAAGCAGGGGAUCUUCGGACCUCGCACUAUUGGAUGAGCCUAUGUCGGAUUAGUUAGUUGGUGGGGUAAAGGCCUACCAAGGCAGCGAUCCGUAGCUGGUCUUAGAGGAUGAUCAGCCACAUCGGGACUGAGACACGGCCCGAACUCCUACGGGAGGCAGCAGUGGGGAAUAUUGCACAAUGGGCGCAAGCCUGAUGCAGCUAUGCCGCGUGUGUGAAGAAGGCCUUAGGGUUGUAAAGCACUUUCAGUAGUGAGGAAAAGUGUUGUGUUAAUAGCGCAAUGCUGGGACGUUAGCUACAGAAGAAGGACCGGCAAACUCCGUG
rnacentral:rRNA from 1 species